GCCAAUGCCACCUAACAGGGAGCCACCACCCAGCCAAAGGAGGCCACUGGUCCGUGGCGGUGGCUCUUAUGUGCCACAGAACUCUGGGAACUAUCAGAGCAGCACUUGCAAAUUGCCACCAAUUCAUGAUUCUUUCCGGAACAAGUCAUAUCUGCAGGGACUUGUGACCCUCCCCAACAAGCCCAGAGUGGCCCAGCUGCUGGGCAGGGGUGGACACAUCCCGAGGGACCAGCUUCCCAUAG